rnacentral:rRNA from 1 species
UACGAAGGGUGCAAGCGUUACUCGGAAUUACUGGGCGUAAAGCGUGCGUAGGUGGUUUGUUAAGUCUGAUGUGAAAGCCCUGGGCUCAACCUGGGAAUUGCAUUGGAUACUGGCAGGCUAGAGUGCGGUAGAGGAUGGCGGAAAUUCCCGGUGUAGCAGUGAAAUGCGUAGAGAUCGGGAGGAACAUCUGUGGCGAAGGCGGCCAUCUGGACCAGCACUGACACUGAGGCACGAAAGCGUGGGGAGCAAACAGG